rnacentral:rRNA from 1 species
UACGGAGGGUGCAAACGUUGCUCGGAAUCAUUGGGCGUAAAGCGCACGUAGGCGGCCUGUUAAGUCGGGUGUGAAAGCCCUGGGCUCAACCCAGGAAGUGCACUCGAAACUGGCGGGCUUGAAUAUGGAAGAGGGUCGCGGAAUUCCCGGUGUAGAGGUGAAAUUCGUAGAUAUUAGGAAGAACACCAGUGGCGAAGGCGACUCACUGGUCCGGUACUGACGCUGAGGUGCAAAAGCGUGGGGAGCAAACAGG